AGAAGAAGAAUCGUUUGUACGUCUCUUCUCUUCUCUGUCUGUCUUUCUUUCUCUUCUUUGGCUUAGCCAUGUCUCUGCUUUCUCUAUAAUUUCCUUAGCAAAGAAGAGAAAGCAAAGAAAUCAAAGUAAACAAAUGAGAACCCACCAAAAAAUUCAAAUCUCUUGUUAGUUUUUUUUUUUUUUGGUGCGUGUGUGUGUGUGUGCGCGCGUUCAAAAAAAGCGAAUUAUUUUUGGGUUUUAAGCUGUUGAACGGUGAAGAAGAUGACGGUUGCAAAUAGUUAUGAUUUGUGGAAAAAAGAUGCCUUCUUUUCUGCAGCAGAAGAGGUUCAAGAAUCUGCUGAUAUGUGACCUGUAAUGGAACCAUGAAGUUUCUAUAAAGCAUUUUCAUAAUUGCUCGACUUUUCUGUGUCACUUGCAAUGCAAACUAAAGGUCAGCAACACGGAUCUUGAAGAAAAAAAAGCUGAAGAUCAAUGUUCAUAGGCCUGUGUGGACAAGGGUUGUCUUUGAUGAGGAAGGCAACACACUGGCUCCACUUGCUAUGUUGGCUGACAAGACGAGCGGCGAUAUACUGCUUGACCAAGAUAUUGAAGGUGUGGUGGAUUCAAUCUCUUCAAGCUGGAAAAGCCAAGGCUUAGCACUUUUUCAAAGUAGAGUGUUAUUUAAUGUUGUAUUCCAUGGUCGUUUAUCUUAGUCAGAACUUGAAUUAGGUGUUAUUGAAACAGGGUUUUGUAGCUACCUUGUGUACUAGCUUCUUUAAUCAUGAUUGUUAAUUAUUACGUGUUUUGGAGCUUCUUUUAUAUUUGGCCUAGUUAAUAUAGAUCAGAUGAGCUGUGAGGUA